GCAGCCUUUCGUUUGGGGAGGGUGGCACGGGCCUCUGAUGCCAUUUUCCUCCCUCUUCCUGUGGCUUUGUGGGGAAGCCCUCUCCAGGCGGGCCCGCCGACUGGCCGUGAGGAUGCGCGCCCUGGAGAGCUCCCAGAGGCCCCGCGGGUCGCCGCGACCGCGCUCCCAAAACAACAUCUACAGCGCCUGCCCGCGGCGCGCUCGUGGAGCGGACGCUGCAGGCACGGGGGAGGCCCCCGUUCCAGGUCCCGGAGCGCCGUUGCCCCCCGCCCCGCUGCAGGUGUCUGAAUCUCCCUGGCUCCAUGCCCCAUCUCUGAAGACCAGCUGUGAAUACGUGAGCCUCUACCACCAGCCUGCCGCCAUGAUGGAGGACAGUGAUUCAGAUGACUACAUCAAUGUUCCUGCCUGACAACUCCCCAGCUAUCCCCCAACCCCAGGCUCGGACUGUGGUGCCAAGGAGUCUCAUCUAUCUGCUGAUGUCCAAUACCUGCUUCAUGUGUUCUCAGAGCCCUCAUCACUUCCCAUGCCCCAUCUCGACUCCCAUCCCCAUCUAUCUGUGCCCUGAGCAUGGCUCUGCGCCCAGGUCCUCUUGCACACCUUGGCAGCCCCCUGUAGUUGACAGGUAAGCUGUAGGCAUGUACAGCAAUUGUCCCAAUGCCACUUGCUUCCUUUCCAAGCCGUCGAACAGACUGUGGGAUUUGCAGAGUGUUUCUUCCAUAUCUUUGACCACAGGGUUGUUGCUGCCCAGGCUCUAGAUCACAUGGCAUCAGGCUGGGGCAGAGGCAUAGCUGUUGUCUCGGGCAUCCUUCCCAGGGUUGGGUCUUACACAAAUAGAAGGCUCUUGCUCUGAGUUAUGUGACAUGCCUCAGCCCCAUGGACUAAGCAGGGGUCUGGUAUAAAAAC
rnacentral:sRNA from 1 species